UACGGGGGGAGCAAGCGUUGUUCGGAUUUACUGGGCGUAAAGGGCGCGUAGGCGGCGCAACAAGUCACUUGUGAAAUCUCCGGGCUUAACUCGGAGCGGCCAAGUGAUACUGUCGUGCUAGAGUGCGGAAGGGGCAACUGGAAUUCUCGGUGUAGCGGUGAAAUGCGCAGAUAUCGGGAGGAACACCAGUAGCGAAGGCGGCUCGCUGGGCCACUCCUGACGCUGAGACGCGAAAGCUAGGGGAGCGAACAGG
rnacentral:rRNA from 1 species